AUCUCUUCUCUUUCUCUUCGAGCAUCUCCGCAACAACAACAACACCACCACCGCAACAACAACAACAACAACACCGCAAAGCCGCCGCCACCAUCUCUUCUCUUUAAUUUUUUAUGGGUUUCAUCAAAAAAAUUUUGGUUUAAUCCACCACGAACACAUGCAUGAGCAAGGUAUCUUGAGUUAGAUCUUAAAUGGAAGAAUCAAGUUGCAUGAAUAUUGAGUUUAUUUUUUUUAUUUAUAUUGUAAUUUUUUUUAUAUGUUGUAAUUGAACUACUACUGUAUUGAUCUAUAUUGUAAAAUUAUUUUGAUUAUAUAUUGUAAAUUUUUGAUUAUGUUGAUUGAAAUUCGAUCUAUAUUUUGAUGUUCUAAAUAAUUUAAGUCGAUUUUUAAUUGUUUGAUGUUCUAAA